UAGCUUGCUAGAAGAUGACGAGCGGCGGACGGGUGAGUAAUGCUUGGGAACAUGCCUUGAGGUGGGGGACAACCAUUGGAAACGAUGGCUAAUACCGCAUAAUGUCUACGGACCAAAGGGGGCUUCGGCUCUCGCCUUUAGAUUGGCCCAAGUGGGAUUAGCUAGUUGGUGAGGUAAAGGCUCACCAAGGCGACGAUCCCUAGCUGGUUUGAGAGGAUGAUCAGCCACACUGGAACUGAGACACGGUCCAGACUCCUACGGGAGGCAGCAGUGGGGAAUAUUGCACAAUGGGCGCAAGCCUGAUGCAGCCAUGCCGCGUGUGUGAAGAAGGCCUUCGGGUUGUAAAGCACUUUCAGUCAGGAGGAAAGGUUAGUAGUUAAUACCUGCUAGCUGUGACGUUACUGACAGAAGAAGCACCGGCUAACUCCGUGCCAGCAGCCGCGGUAAUACGGAGGGUGCGAGCGUUAAUCGGAAUUACUGGGCGUAAAGCGUACGCAGGCGGUUUGUUAAGCGAGAUGUGAAAGCCCCGGGCUUAACCUGGGAACUGCAUUUCGAACUGGCAAACUAGAGUGUGAUAGAGGGUGGUAGAAUUUCAGGUGUAGCGGUGAAAUGCGUAGAGAUCUGAAGGAAUACCGAUG
rnacentral:rRNA from 1 species